CACCAGGCCACUCUGGGCACUCGCUGAGGCGCAUGUCCUGCCCCUCGCAGACGCAGGGCAAUGGGAACAACCUUCAUGGGAUAAAAUCAACUUUCACCAGUACUCAACAACCCUUUCAAGUUUCCAACACGGCUGUUUUAUUGAGGUGAUUGGGGACUUGGCUGGAAAACCAAAGUUCACCUUUUCAAGAAUAAACACCACGUAAGAGGAUCAAUCCAUUCCUACUACCAGCACUUAACAAGCUGCAUCAUUCCAAGAACACUUCCAGACUUCCACAGCUGUGCGUAGAUGCCUCCUCUCCAAAUAAGCAGCAUAAAUCAAGAAACAACAUUUCAAGAUUCUUGACCAUGGCUCACGUGCCAUGCUAACAUAGCCAACCUGCAGAAGAGCACGGUUUCCAUCUUUAAGGCUUUCCCAUUCCAUCCAUCUCCAUCGGCCCAUGCACGUGUUUUGUGGCAUCCCCAGCACCAGAUGGAUGAGCCUCUGAAGGAACUAAUGAAGGAUCCAGGCCCAAGGGAAGAGGGACAAUAUGCAGCUCUACACAGAGAAAAUUGUUCAGAACUUUCAUUAUCCACGAGCAUAAAUGCACUAAUUUAAGAGAACUAAAGGCUUUAGAUAAAAUAACUGAGCCUGCACUUGGAGAUUUGUCCGAAUGGAACCAAAAGCCAGCUACCAAAUCUAGGGGACAAGUAUUUGCCGCAAGACAGAGGAACCUGGAUGUAAUACAAGGAUUGUAAUUUCAUACUCCUCUUGCACUUGCUGAUUCAAUGUUAAUGUGAUAAAAUGAAGAGCAGAGGUUUUGACUACA